CAGGGGCGGCGUGCCUACACAUGCAAGUCGAACGGACUUAACCUGAAACCUAGUGAUGGUUAAGUUAGUGGCGGACGGGUGAGUAACGCGUGGACAACCUGCCGCAUGCAGGGGGAUAACAGUUGGAAACAGCUGCUAAUACCGCAUAAGCGCACGGUACCGCAUGGUACAGUGUGAAAAGAUUUAUCGGCAUGCGAUGGAUCCGCGUCCGAUUAGCCAGUUGGCGGGGUAACGGCCCACCAAAGCGACGAUCGGUAGCCGGCCUGAGAGGGCGGACGGCCACAUUGGGACUGAGACACGGCCCAAACUCCUACGGGAGGCAGCAGUGGGGAAUAUUGCACAAUGGGGGGAACCCUGAUGCAGCGACGCCGCGUGGGUGAAGAAGUCAUUCGUGACGUAAAGCCCUAUCAGCAGGGAAGAAAAUGACGGUACCUGACUAAGAAGCCCCGGCUAACUACGUGCCAGCAGCCGCGGUAAUACGUAGGGGGCAAGCGUUAUCCGGAUUUACUGGGUGUAAAGGGAGCGUAGACGGCGGCGCAAGUCCGGAGUGAAAGCCCACGGCCCAACCGUGGGACUGCUCUGGAAACUGUGCGGCUUGAGUGCGGGAGGGGCAGGCGGAAUUCCUAGUGUAGCGGUGAAAUGCGUAGAUAUUAGGAGGAACACCGGCGGCGAAGGCGGCCUGCUGGACCGUAACUGACGUUGAGGCUCGAAAGCGUGGGGAGCAAACAGGAUUAGAUACCCUGGUAGUCCACGCCGUANACGAUGAUUACUAGGUGUCGCGGUACGAAGUACUGCGGUGC
rnacentral:rRNA from 1 species